UAGGGAAUCUUCGGCAAUGGGGGCAACCCUGACCGAGCAACGCCGCGUGAGUGAAGAAGGUUUUCGGAUCGUAAAGCUCUGUUGUAAGUCAAGAACGAGUGUGAGAGUGGAAAGUUCACACUGUGACGGUAGCUUACCAAAAAGGGACGGCUAACUACGUGCCAGCAGCCGCGGUAAUACGUAGGUGGCAAGCGUUAUCCGGAUUUAUUGGGCGUAAAGAGAGUGCAGGCGGUUUUCUAAGUCUGAUGUGAAAGCCUUCGGCUUAACCGGAAAAGUGCAUCGGAAACUGGAUAACUUGAGUGCAAAAAAGGGUAGUGGAACUCCAUGUGUAGCGGUGGAAUGCGUAAAUAUAUGGAAAAACACCAGUGGCGAAGGCGGCUACCUGGUCUGCAACUGACGCUGAGACUCGAAAGCAUGGGUAGCGAACAGGAUUAAAUACCCUGGUAGUCCAUGCCGUAAACGAUGAGUGCUAGGUGUUGGAGGGUUUCCGCCCUUCAGUGCCGGAGCUAACGCAUUAAGCACUCCGCCUGGGGAGUACGACCGCAAGGUUG
rnacentral:rRNA from 1 species